UACGAAGGGGGCUAGCGUUGUUCGGAAUUACUGGGCGUAAAGCGCGCGCAGGCGGUUCUUUAAGUCAGGGGUGAAAGCCCAGAGCUCAACUCUGGAAUUGCCUUUGAAACUAGAGAACUUGAGUACGGGAGAGGUGAGUGGAAUUCCGAGUGUAGAGGUGAAAAUUCGUAGAUAUUCGGAAGAACACCAGUGGCGAAGGCGGCUCACUGGCCCGUUACUGACGCUCAGGCGCGACAGCGUGGGGAGCAAACGAGG
rnacentral:rRNA from 1 species